UGGUUUCUUUUCAGAUUGUAUAAACCUUUCGCCUUUUACUAAAGAUUUCCAUGGAGAGGAACUCUUUA
rnacentral:snRNA from 1 species